UUGCAACUCACAAUGUUGUGACAGUAGAAAGUCAUUUUGUAGAUAAAUAGUUAUUUGGAUACACACAAACAAAUUCUACGCCCGGGCUGGUGAUCUCUGACGAGUUCAAGCACGAAACGAAGAUGUGCAGCCCCUGCUGCGGAUCCUGCUGCGGCCCUUGCUGCAGCCCCUGCUGCAGUCCUUGCUGUUCGCCGUGCUGCAAUGACUGCUGCGGGCCCUGCUGCAGUCCCUGCUGCGGCCCUUGCUGCGGCCCCUGCUGCGGGCCCUGCUGCAGUCCUUGCUGCACUCCCUGCUGCUGCGGCCCCUGCUGCUGUCAGCCGUGCGGCAAGUGCUGCGGCCCCUGCUGCACCCCUUGCUGCGCCCCCUGCUGCACCCCUUGCUGCACCCCCUGCUGUGCUCCCUGCUGUGCUCCCUGCUGCGCCCCCUGCUGCGCCCCCUUGCUGCAGCCCCUGCCGCAAGUGAUUCUCGCGAGCGAUGCUGAUAUCGAAGGCAGGAGAGGAUCGCGAAUGUCACCUCUAGUUCGUCGAGCUCGUUGGAGAACCGUUGAAACCCAUCUUAAAUUAACAACUGAGGCAUUUAAAUACACGAAAAGUCAAGAGCAAA